UGAUGUGUGAAUAUAAAUUUGUUUUUAUAAGCUCUAAAGGCUGAGUAAAAAUAAAAUUUAUGUGAAUGGAUAUGGACAUUUAUUGGGUUCAUUUAUAAGCCAAUGGACUGGGUAAAUUGAGUUUUGGGUAUUUAUAUGUAAAAAACAAAAAUUAGUGGCCAAGUUAGCCAACUUGGUGACCAAGUUUAGCCAACUUGGUGACCAAGUUUAGCCAACUUGGUGACCAAGCUUUUAUUCACUAUAAAUACCCAUACCCACUUCACAAAUUAUAACAUCUCAUUCCAUCACAUUCUUCAUCUCUCUUCACACAAAUACCAAGCUCUCUCUCACUAGAAAAGAAAAAAAAAACUCUUAGAUCUUCUAUAAUCUUUUAAAGUAAGUGUCUCGAGUGUAUAUCGUAGUAGUUGAGUUCAUAGAUUCUGUUUUGGGUGUUGUGAAACGGUCUUAUCACAGUUGUAUCCUGGGAUUCAAAAAUCGCAUAAAACCGUCACACAUUACUGGCGAUUUAUUGAGUUAAAGAAAGAGAUCAAAUCUCGACUCCGUGAAUUUCGUCUAUUUCCUUAUGUUUUUUAAGCAUUUUUUAAUCUUUAUAUUAUCGUUUUAUAUACUUUUUGUUUCGUAAUUUUCAAUCAGGAUUUUUGCGGUCCUACAUAGUUAUCCCCAAAAUUUUGAUCUUUAUUUUUCGAGUUCAUGUUUGAAGUCGAGAAAUAAUUUGUGCUUUUCAAAUGACCUGAAUCGUACAUUCACAGCAAGUUCCUUAUGGCUUAUAGACAGGACGUCGCCUCCGAAACUACCUAGGAUGUUAUAUCCUAAACCGUUUAACAAUACUAGAAAUGUUUUGUUGCAAAUGCGUAUUGCCUCAUGAAAGAUCGGAGUCUUUUAGUUCAUUAGUGUAUUAAUGAUUUGUUGUAUCAUUUACUUCGUUUUUGGUGCUGGUUUUAAUCUUGCUUUAGCUUAAACCUCUUAAUCAUUAUGUACUAGGAUAAGACCUGCGACUUGCUCAUGAUUAAUUUAUAUAAAAGUUAUUUAAGAAAUAUCGUAUGGAAAAAUAAAAUUUAUUUUCUUGAUCGAAUAAAUAUUUUUGACCCUUAAACAAUUUUUUAGAAUUUUUUUUUUGUCAAUUACAUAAUUUGUUUACUAAUGAGAUGAUCCCAUUUUUUAAAAUAUUUUAUGUCAAAAAAUCACUUAUCGCAUAAGAACCUAACAUUUAGGCCGAAAAAUCUCAGGUCUACUAUUUGGUUACAAUGAAACUACGACAGCUCGGUUUUAUAUCAGGAUUUAGCAGUUUAAAAGUUAAUUAUGGUUAUUAAAAGAUAAAGUUCACGUGUCAAUCAAAUCUACCUUCAAUAUUUUUCUCAUUUUUGUGUCGUUUUUUUCAUUUUAGUUAUUGCACGAUAAAAAUAUUGAUUUUUGAGUUUAUUCUCAUGUUGUUAUUUUGUUUUGGCCUGAGAUUUAAAAAAUGUUUAAGAUUUAAAAUUAUUAAAGAAAUACAUACUUAGUUUAAGAUCCGCACCUUAAGAAUAAUAAAUAUUUUAUAUUUAUUAUUUAUUUUAUGUUUUUAUGCAUAUUAUGAAAUAAUAAAAUAAUAAUUAUAUAUUAAAUAACUAAGAAAUCAAUUACUAUUAUGUAAUAAAUUGGCGUGCGCAUAUAAAUCAAACGAUCGAUCCUGUUUAUUCGUAAUCAUUUUAGGGUAAAUAAAUGAAAACAAUCAACAUAGAUAUAUAAUUAAAUUUAAAUGAUAUUAACAUAUAUAUAUAUAUAUAUAUAUAUUAUACUUUUAAUAUGAAUAUUUAUUAAAUAAGGUUUCUACUCAUAUGAUUUUAUGAUUAUUUGCAUAUUUGUGUAAUAAAACUUUAAACCAAAGAUUUUUUUUAUGUGAAAUAUUUAGUGGUUUCAAUAAAUUAUGAUCAUUUAAAAAAACAAUGAAUAUUUCAAAAUUUAAAUAUUAACUUUUCAAUAUAUGCUCAAAGCAGAUAUCACAAUAUAAGUAUGUAUUUUCAUAUGAUGUAUAGUGUAAUUUAAACGAUAUGAAAUAUAUAUUAACAUAAACACCUAUUAAAAUAAAAUUAUUUAUUCAUAUUAUUUUAUAAUCAUUGUAUCUUAUUAUAGAAAAAAGAAUUAAACCUUGAUCACAAAAAUUUAUGUGAGUCUUUUAACAGUUUUACUAGUUUAUACUUGUUUUGAAAAAUUCAAAUUACAACAUAUACAAAAAAAAUCUAAAUUUUUAUUAUAUGAUUAAUCUAAUAGUGUAAUUUAUGUUAAUAAUAAAUGAUUAAGAAAAAAUGAUAGAAAAUAUACAGAUUGUUACCAAAUCUUUAUUAUUUAAAAUCAUUAAUUACCAUAUAUAUCUUAAUCACAUUAGGUAAUUUUGUAGGUUUUAUUAUUUACAAAGUUGAAAACUAAGAGACUUCCAUAGAAAAAUGAAAAGUCAAAGACCGUAGGGAAGAACAACUAAUUCGUCAAAAUAGUCGUCAUCUAGCAACGACAGUGGUCAAAGUAAUAUGGUUGACAGUGGCAACAUCCUGUCCGCCGACGAUCUCGCCGGAGUUAAAGAACGAGUGGAAGGUAGGUUUUCUCGGUUGUGGAAGGUGAAUUAUUCGACUCUCCAACAUCAACAAAACCGAACUUAUAUUUGGUCCGUAAAUAACCGAGGCUUGUGUACACAACAUCCCCAUGUGGAUGCGUCUCAUUGCUUCGUUUACGUCUUUAGUGUCCUUCACCGUUGGAUCAAUUAGCUCUUUGGUCUUUCUUUGGCUCCAUAAAUUCUUCGCUUGAAGUUUUAAUUAAACAGAAGCCCAAAGAAGGAUUAUCAAGCCCAAUGUAAUAGAUUUAGCCCAUAUGUUUAGGGUUUGUUGCAAGAGAAGUUUCAUAUAAAUAUGUGUAAUGAGUAUUCAUAAAUGUAACCUUGGCUGCCUUUAAAGCAGCCUCACCUUAAACUUAUUUAUUAAAUCUA
rnacentral:lncRNA from 1 species